rnacentral:lncRNA from 1 species
CAGUAUAUAGAACACUAAACACACAUAAAACUAGUUUGCUUCCAGAACCAUGUUGCGACGAUUGCCAAAAUAAUCAAUGCCAAAGCAGCAACCUGUUAAAAGAAAACAAAAUAUAAAAGAAAACCUAGAAGAAGUUAGAAAUUAUACUCUACUUAAUGCAGAAGGACAAGAAUGUUUAAUAGAUAUAGAAAAGGAUUAUACCCUAAUAAGUAUAGAAACUCUAUUUUAUAAUUUUAGAAAAGGAAUGGAUAAAAUAGGAAUAAUAAACAGUCCAAAAGAUUUAGAAAAUAUAAUAUCUAUACUAGAUAAAAUGGAAAUAAUAGGAGAAAGACCGUUAGCUCAUUGGGAUGCUAACGAGAUAAUGUGUAAAUUAGAUAUAAUUAAUUCAGAAUACACUAUAAAAACAGCACCUAUAGAAGCAAAUAAUGAAGAUACUAAAGAAUUUGAUAUACAAAUAAAGAAACUUUUACAAUUAGAGGUAAUAAGAAGAUCUACCUCUAGACAUAGAUCGGCCGCCUUUAUGAUAAGAAAUCAUAGUGAACAAAUAAGGAGUAAAGCUCGUAUGGUAAUUAACUGUAAAAGAUUAAAUGAUAACACCAGAACAGAUGCAUAUAAACUACCAGAUAAAAGUGAGUUAAUUAAUAGAAUUCAAAAUAAAAAAGUAUAUAGUAAAUUUGACUGUAAGUCAGGUUACUGGCAAGUCAAAAUGCACCCAGACAGCAGAGAGUGGACGGCAUUCACAUGUCCAGGUGGAAAUUUUGAAUGGUUAGUUAUGCCGUUUGGUUUAAAGACAGCUCCACCCAUUUUUCAACGAAAGAUGGAUAACAUAUUUGGAGAGUAUAAACAUUUUAUAUUAGUAUAUGUAGAUGAUAUUUUGGUGUUCAGUCAAAAUAUACAAGAACACUUAGGACACUUACAAAUAAUUUUUAGAUUAUUUGUUAAACAUGGGAUAAUAAUAAGUAAAAAGAAAAUGGAAUUAUGUAAGACUUAUAUUAAUUUUCUAGGAAUAACUUUAGGAAAUGGAAAGGUAAAACUUCAACCACACAUUGCAAAGAAAGUAUUAGAAAUGCCAGAUAAAUUAGAAAAGACAAAAGAUUUACAAAUAUUUUUAGGAUUAGUAAAUUAUGCACGAAAUUUUAUUCAAGACUUAGGGAAAAUAACAGGACCAUUAUAUGCAAAGACUGGUAGUAAAGGGCAGAAAAACUUCAAUAUAGAAGACAUUAAAUUAAUCCAAAAAAUAAAAGAAAAAUUAAAAUAUUCCAGACCUAAAUAUUCCAUUAGAAUCGGAUUAUUUAAUCAUUCAAACAGAUGGAAGUGAUUUAGGAUGGGGUGCUAUCUUAAAAGCACAACCUAAUAAAUACAGUAAUAAAAAUGAAGAACAAAUAUGUGGUUAUCAGAGUGGGGCAUAUAAAGAAAAAGGAAACAUGAGUGCUAUAGACCUAGAAGUAUUAGCUAUAAUAUACGGGUUAAAUAGUUUCAAGUUAUAUAUUCUAAAUAAAGAGGAAAUUUUAGUUAGAACAGAUUGUGAAGCUAUAGUUAAAUUUCAUCAAAAAAUAAAUGACAAAACUAGUAGUAGAAGAAGAUAGCUAAAUUUUACAGACACCAUAUUUGUUUAUAAGAAUAUAGUAUUUGAACAUAUAAAAGGUAAAGAAAACGAAUUAUCAGACCAGUUAAGUAGAUUACAACUGGGAAUAAAUAAAUAAGUUUAAUCCAACUCAUUUAUUUUCAGCAUAAGACCAACAGGACAACCUCUUGCAGAUAAAGGCAAAGGUGUAGCUUCGUCUUCAAAUUCAUAUCAGCAGACAAUGUUAAGUAAUUUAAAUUUUAGACCACUACAAUCUUUAGAAAUAAUGGAAAGAAUUCACUUUGGACCAUUUAACUUAAUUGCUUACCUUGAGAGUAACAUAUCAUUUAGAAUAAGACCAGACUACAUUUUAGAUAGACCCCAAAAGUGUUUAAUAGAUAAUCUUUGGAUAUCUUAUAAUAGACAAAAUCAUAAUCAUUUAUGGCAUCCAUGAAUUCUUUAUGCCAUUACAUGGCAGAAAAAAGUAGGCCUAGGUUUAAAUAUUAUAUAGUCAUUCAUAGGAAGACUAACGGAAUUUUCCAAACAUGGUUAGAAGUGUUAGAUUCAAUACAAGGUUUUAAAGCCUCUCUUUUCAAAGAUUUUAAUGAUUUUACCGAAGCCACAAAUCAUGCUAGAGGAUAGUUAGGACCAAACUAUUAUAUAUCACCAUCACUCAGACAGAACCCAGAUCAAAUACCUCAGUAUAAUUUGCAAAAAGAGACUGGAAAGAUUAUUCUCUGCAACCAUUGUUCUUCGAUGACGGAGAAUUUCAAGAAGCUAAAUGCUCAGAAAGAAUCACUCCUCAUGGAAAACACUAGAUUAAUAAAGCAGGUACAACUAUUAGAAGCAAGACUCAACCAUCAGACAAAUGUAAGCAUGACAAUGCAACCAUUGAAGAGAUGGAGAACUCUGAGUCUGAGUCUUUAUUUUUGCAUCUGUCUUGCUUAUAUUUGUCUGAUGGUUGAGUCUUGCUUCUAAUAGUUGUACCUGCUUUAUUAAUCUAGUGUUUUCUAUGAGGAGUGAUUCUUUCUGAGCAUUUAGCUUCUUGAAAUUCUUCGUCAUCGAAGAACAAUGGUUGCAGAAAAUAAUCUUUUCAGUCUCUUUUUGCAAAUUAUACUGAGGUAUUUGAUCUGGGUUCUGUCUGAGUGAUGGUGAUAUAUAAUAGUUUGAUCCUAAAUAUCCUCUAGCAUGAUUUGUGGCUUCAGUAAAAUCAUUAAAACCUUUGAAAAGGGGGGCUUUAAAACCUUGUAUUGAAUCUAACACUUCUGACCAUGUUUGGAAAAUUCCGUUAGUCUUUCCAUGAAUGACUACAUAAUAUUUAAACCUAGGCCUACUUUUUUCUGCCAUGUAAUGGCAUAAAGAAUUCAUGGAUGCCAUAAAAUGAUUACGAUUUUGUCUAUUAUAAGAUAUCCAAAGAUUAUCUACUAAACAUUUUUGGGGUCUCUCUAAAAUGUAGUCUGGUCUUAUUCUAAAUGAUAUGUUACUCUCCGGGUAAGCAAUUAAGUUAAAUGGUCCGAAGUGAAUUCUUUUCAUUGUUUCUAAAGAUUCUAGUGGUCUAAAAUUUAAAUUACCUAACAUUGUCUGUUAAUAUGAAUCUGAAUACGAAGCUACGCCCUUGCCUUAGGAGGUUGUCCUGUUGGUCUCAUGCUGAAAAUAAAUGAGUUGGAUUAAACUUAUUUAUUUAUUCCCUGUUGUAAUCUACUUAACUGGUCUGAUAAUUCGUUUUCUUUACCUUUUAUAUGUUCAAAUAUUAUAUUCUUAUAAACAAAUAUGGUGUCUGUAAAAUUUAGCCAUCUUCUUCUACUACUAGUUUUGUCAUUUAUUUUUUGAUGAAAUUUAACUAUAGCUUCACAAUCUGUUCUAACUAAAAUUUCCUCUUUAUUUAGAAUAUAUAACUUGAAACUAUUUAACCCGUAUAUUAUAGCUAAUACUUCUAGGUCUAUAGCACUCAUGUUUCCUUUUUCUUUAUAUGCCCCACUCUAAUAACCACAUAUUUGUUCUUCAUUUUUAUUACUGUAUUUAUUAGGUCGUGCUUUUAAGAUAGCUCCCCAUCCUAAAUCACUUCCGUCUGUUUGAAUGAUUAAAUGAUCUGAUUCUAAUGGAAUUUUUAGGUCUGAAAUUUUUAAAAUUUUUAUUUUAUUUUUUGAAUUAAUUUAAUGUCUUCUAUAUUGAAGUUUUUCUGCCCUUUACUACCAGUCUUUGCGUAUAAUGGUCCUGCUAUUUUUCCUAAGUCUUGAAUAAAAUUUUGUGCAUAAUUUACUAAUCCUAAAAUUUUUUGUAAAUCUUUUGUCUUUUCUAAUUUAUCUGGCAUUUCUAAUACUUUCUUUGCAAUGUGUGGUUGAAGUUUUACCUUUCCAUUUCCUAAAGUUAUUCCAAGAAAAUUAAUAUAAGUCUUACAUAAUUCCAUUUUCUUUUUACUUAUUAUUAUCCCAUGUUUAACAAAUAAUCUAAAAAUUAUUUGUAAGUGUUUAUUUGUAAGUUUCCUAAGUGUUCUUGAAUAUUUUGACUGAACACCAAAAUAUCAUCUACAUAUACUAAUAUAAAAUGUUUAUACUCUCCAAAUAUGUUAUCCAUUUUUCGUUGAAAAUGGGUGGAGCUGUUUUUAAACCAAACGGCAUAACUAACAAUUCAAAAUGUCCACCUGGACAUGUGAAUGCCGUCCACUCUAUGCUGUUUGGGUGCAUUUUGACUUGCCAGUAACCUGACUUACAGUCAAAUUUACUAUAUACUUUUUUAUUUUGAAUUCUAUUAAUUAACUCACUUUUAUCUGGUAGUUUAUAUGCAUCUGUUCGGGUGAUAUUCUUGAGCUUCAUGGGUGAAAGAGACCCAUGAAUCAACACAUGACAUACCUGGAUGGAUGAGUUCUUGAAGAUUAAUGGAGGAAAACUUGAAUUCUUGACUUGGAAUUAAACACCUAGGAUUUCUUGUUCUUGGGGACUGAUCUUUGAGAGAAACCCUAAUUAGAUGUUAUAGAUGAAUAAUAAAGUUAUGGGCUAUGGUCUGGUAUAAUUAGGGGUUAAAACGGGUGAAAAAAGACCCAAAUACCCUUUUAAAAAUGACUUUAAAUUUCUGACCGGGAUCUGCGAUAGCUCGUGUGACGGUCUGUUCGUCAAGUUCAACGGUCCGUCAACCUGUCCGUCACACCUUAGCUAGAAGAUUGACUUACUGCCUUAGCUGUGACGGUCUAGGCGACGGUCCAUCGCUAGAUCGAUGGUCUGUCAACUUGCCCGUCGCAUCUGGGCGGUUCUGACAGCUCUCGGUAAAACGUCCAUAACUUUUUACUCCGAUACCAGAUUUGGACAAAAUUGGUAUUGUUGGAAAGCUAAUUCAAUUUCCCACUCAAAAAAGGUGAAAAUUUCAAAAAUUACACGUGUACAAAAUGGAUUCAUCUUUCAAAGUAAGUUUCUAACAUUCUUAGGAUGAUUUCAAGCUAGGUAGAAGUACGUGGUAUAUAUAUAUAUAAAUGUAUUUAUAUAUAUGACUGUUGAAUGCGUAUAUAUAUAUAUCACAUCCACAAGUGUAUUACCUUAUAAUAGAAUACGUUCAUUAUAUUCUGAUGAAUUAUCGGUUAUAUAUUACAUUAUUACGACUGAAAUAGUAACAUAAUAUCAUUAUCUCAACAGUAUGAUAUAUAUAUACACACAUAUUCAUUAUACAAAUUAUGCAUGCUUAACGUCAUUUAACGUAUAUACGAAGGAAAAUAUUAUGUUUUGAAACAUAUGUAAAAGAUAAAGAUUAUGUUUAACGUAAUUUAUUUAUUUUAUUUGAUAUAUGUUUAAGUGUAAUUUUUUCAAAAAUUUAAAGAAUGAUUGAUUUUUAUUAUUAUUAUANNNNNNNNNNNNNNNNNNNNNNNNNNAAAAUUUUUUUUUUUUUUUUUUUUAAUUAAAAACUUACCACAAGUGGUCGGUUUAUUGAAAAGUAUUUUUCUUUUUUUAAAAAAAAAUAAAAACCGACCAGUGGUCGAUUUUUUAAAAAAUAAAUUUAAAAAUAAUUUUUAUAAACUGACCACAAGUGGUCGGUUUUUUAAAAUAUUUUUUAAUUAUUUUUUUUAAUAACCGACCACUAGUGGUCGGUUUUGUUAUUUUUUUAAUUUUUUAUUUAUAAAAUAAAUUAUAAUUAAUAUAAAAAUUAAUGAAAUAAUUAUUUUUAUUUUUAAAAAUAUAAAAAUGACCACAUGUGGUCACUUUUUGAAAAAAAAAAAAAUCAACCACGUGUGGUCGAUUUUUUGUGGUCGGUUUUUCAUUUUUUUCUAGUUGUGUUACUUAGGCAAAUUAUAUGAAAAGGUCAUCCAUAAAACUUAAUUACAUAAAUAAUAGUACUUUUUCGAUAUUAAAAAAAUAAAAGUUUUUUCUUUAUAUAUAGCCAUUUUAAGAAAUCAAACAAGAUAAUUAUAAUUCUUAAUUUAAUGCAAUAACUAAUUAUCAAUUCACCUUAAUUUAAGAUACAUAUUUUCAAUCUUCAAAUUAAAAGUAGAAAAGAUAAUCUUUGCUUUCAAAUAUUUUUCUCUCUUAUAUUCAAUAUUCAUAUAUUUUUAAAUAAACUAAGUAUUCCAUUAUUUGCUCAUGUAUAUUUCAUUUUAUUUUCAUGUAUGUUAUUCAUCUAGUAUUAUUUUAUUAUUGUGUGUUUUUAAUUCUAAUGUAAUGGGGUAACCAUAAUUUUUUUAUGGAUAAAUAUUUAUGGAAUAAAAAUUAUUUUGGUGGAAGUACAGAUAUAUCAUAUAUUUUUGUUGUAUAAAUAUAAUUAAUGUAAAAGUCAGAUUAUUAUUAUAUUUUUAUAUAAUUUAUGAGAUAAAUAUUCAUGAUAUUUUUUAUAUAAUUUUUGCACCAUUUGAUAUAAUAUCAAAAAGCAUUUGCAUCAUUUGAUAUAAUACCAAACACCAUUUGAUAUAAUAUCAAAUGAUGCAAAAAUUCUAUCGAAAAUAUAAUAAUAAUCUGACUUUGACAUUAAUUAUAUUUAUACAACAAAAAUUUAUGAUAUAUCUGUACUUCGAACAUAAUGAUUUUUAUUCCAUAAAUAUUUAUUCAUAAAAAAUCAUGGUUAACCCAUUACAUUAGAAUUAAAAAUACACAAUAAUGAAUUAAUACUAGAUGAUUAACAUACAUGAAAAUAAAAUGAAACAUACACUAGUAAAUAAUGGAAUACUUAAUUUAUUUAAAAAUAUUUAAAUUUUGAAUAUAAGAGAGAAAAAUCUUUGAAAGUAGGGAUUAUCUUUUCAAUUGUAAUUUGAAGAUUGAAAACAUAUCUCUUAAAUUAAGGUAAAUUGAUAAUUAGUGGUUUUAUUAAAUUAAGAAUUAUAAUUAUCUUUUUUAAUUUUUUAAAAUGGUUGUAGAUGACAAAAAAAACUUUUAUUUUUGUAAUAUCGAAAAAGUACUAUUAUUUAUGUAAUUAAAUUUUAUGGAUGACCUUUUCAUGUAAUUUGCCUAAAUAAAAUGGCAAAAUACGUUCAAUAGAUAGAUGAGAAGGACAUUUUAGGCUCAAUAGAUAGGUGAGAAGGAUAUUUUAGGUUCAAUAGAUAGACGGAAAGGACAUUUUAGAUCCAAUAGAUAAAUAAAGGAUAUUUUUACACUAUUUUACAUAAUUAAAUGACAUUUUAGAUUCUUUUCCAUAACAGCAAGAAAGUAAUAGCGUAUGUGUGCAUGUAAAUCAGACAAUCGUAAGUGAAAUAUAAACUCACGAAAAAAUGAUUUCCAUGUGUGUUUUGACCAUUUGCUCAUACCCAAAAACUGCACCAACUAACCGAUGAUCGACCUAGGAAAUUUCGAAUUGCACAUUCUAGGGUUCAAUUACACACGACACUUAUCCUACUCCCACUCCCUUCUUCACUGUCGUUGUUUUGCUACAUUCUCUUUUUACCUGAAAAGGAAAAACAAAAGUAUAAAAACCCAUCCACCAAAUCCUCCUGAAAAAUCCCAAAACUAUGUGGAGGAUUUUUCAUACAAGAAUCACAAAAUGUAUUCAACAAAAUACAUUUCAAAGACAUUAUUGCCAGAACAACCUAAUCUUGGUCCAAGAAAUCAUCGAAAUUCUCAAAAACAACAAGUGGAAAAGCCUCAUUCAAUCCUCAGGAAUUAUAGAGAAGCUAAAUCCCGAUUUAGUUCAAUCUGUUCUUCACCAAUGGUCCAAACACAAAGUGGGUAUUCAAUCAGAGUUGGAAAUUCACUCAUUUCUAGCUGCCCUUUUAUGUAGUAGUAGUAGUAAUAAUUUGUAUGGUCCUGCUAAUUCUGUUCUUGAUAUUGUGAUUAAAUUUGGUUUACCCCCUUUAGAUAUUGUGAAAUCUAUUGAUAAUUGUCGUAAAGAAUUUGAUGAGUCAAGAAAUAUCAUGUAAUAUUUGGGUUGUUGAUGGAUAAGUAUAGAGAGAAAGGGUACUUGUUUGAAGCUGCUAUUGUUAUUUUUGCUCAUAAUAAGGAUCUUGAUUGUGUCCCUAGCUUGUUGUAUUGUAAUCGUUUAUUGAUGGAUUUGUUGAAAGUUAGUAACUUUAGAUUGUUUUGGCGAGUUAUUAAUGCAAUGCGUGAAGCAAAUGUUACCUUUAGUGACAUUACGUAUACCUGUAUGGUCGGUGCUCACUGUAGAGAGGGGAAUGUUAAUGAUGCCAAGAAAGUUUUUGCUGAGAUGAAAAAGAAGGGGCAUUGUCCAAAUAUGUUUACCUACAAUUAUUUGAUAAAGGGGUUGUUUAGAGCUGGGCAUGUGGAUGAGGCAAUUGAGCUUAAAAAGAGCAUGUCGUUAGUCCCUAAUAUAUAUAUUUAUACCACAAUUAUUCGUGGGCUUUGUGUUGCGAAUAAAUUUGGAGAGGCAACAAUGGUAUUAGCUGAGAUGAGUGAGAGGGGAGUGAAGCCUAAUGCAGUUGUAUAUCAAGUUUUACUAGAUUGUUUCUUGAGACAUGAUGAUGUGGAUGAGGCUUUCAAAAUGAAGGAUAUAAAGGAUGCUAUAGGCAUUGAUUUAGUCAUGUGCAAUACAUUUCUACGUGGACUCCGCAAGUGUGGUAAGAUGGAGAAGGCAAAUGAACUUGUGGAUGAGAUGACUAGAGAAGGUAUCGAGCCUGAUUUGAAAACUUAUACCUUGUUGAUUGAGGAACACUGUCGAGAGGGUAAUGCUGCCACUGUGUUGGAGCUUCUUGAAGAAAUGAAGAAGAAAAAUCUGGCCCCUGUUGAGUCAACCUAUUGUAUGAUAACCGAUUGUUUCUGCCGCAAUAAGGAUCCGGACUCCGUUAUAGCUUCUCUUCCAGACUUGAUAACGAAGAAUGGGAAGCGAAAUGCGCAUACCUGGAGAACUUUGUUGAUGAAUUAUUCUCGUAAAGGCAACUUACAACAGUUGAGGAGGAUUUUGGAGGUAAUGCAUGAGCAGGAGAUUAUUCCAGCUACUCCCCAUUACAAUAUUCUUAUAAAGGGCCUCUGCAGGACGUGGAAGAUGAAAGUUGCUCAAAGUUGCUUAGUUGAAAUGCUGGAUAGAGGCCUAAAACCUGACCAGGAGAUUUAUGAAGCCUUCAUUAUUGGAUAUUGUGGAAAAGGGGAAUUGCAAAACGCAGAAAAAUAUUUAUGCCAGAUGCUGCAUCAUGGUUUUAAGCCCAACAAAGCAAUUUAUAGUGCUUUGAUCAGUGUGAACUGCAAAAUUGGUAAGGUAAGCGAAGCCUUUGGGGCAUUUAGAAGUAUGCUUUCUCUGGAUCUUUUGAAAGUGUGUGAGGCCUAUCCUGUUCUCCUUCGUAGUCUCUUGACGAACGGAAAAAUGCUAGAAGCAGCUGAAGUCAUUUCAGAACUUCAUGGCAAGAAUCUGGUUGCUGAUGUUUCUGCCUAUGAAGCUCUCAUCUGUUAUUUUGCUCAACACUCUGAGAUUGAAAAGGCCUUUACCCUUUAUGAGGAAUCACAAAACAAAGGUAUUCGUCCCAACUUACGUACUCGCAAUCACUUGAUUGUUGGGCUGUUUAGAGCCGGCCAAACUGAGAGAGCUAAAAUAAUAUUUGAUAUCAUCUUAAAAGAAGGUUUGGGACCAAAUAGAGAGAUAUGCACUACCAUGAUAUCUGGUUUAGCUAAAGGAGGACUAUUGUCUGAGGCCUUUGGCUUGUUUCACUCUAUGAUACUUGGGGGUCUUUCUCCGCGUAGAAUAAUUUAUAAUGCUCUUCUUGAUGGAUGUUGUAAGACUGGGAACUUGCAGAAAGCUCAGGACUUGCUUCAGGAAAUGUUUCAAAUGGGAAUAGCUUCCACUAAAGAUUUUAACACAUUGAUUGAUGGAUUCUUGAAGAAUGGAAAUGUGGUGGAAACUAAGCAGCUUCUGAAAAAGAUGAUAGAGGGAUGUGUUGAACUUGAUCAGGACACGUAUACGAUGCUCGUUGAGCAGCUAUGCAAGGAUGGACUGAUGGAGGAAGCUGAAAUGCUGAUAUCAGAGAUGCAAAAAAGGGAUCUUGUACCUUAGGGUGCAACUUACAGUAGAAUUUUUCAUGGCUAUCAUAUGAUAGGUGAGAGAUCAAGACUUUGUGCCGUAUUCCGAGAAAUGGUGAGGAAGGGUAUCAAUCCUGAGAAUGGCACUCUUCCCGUUGUGCUGGAUGCUUUCUCUAAAGAAGGGAACUUACUUGACGCAUUCAAGUUAUUCAUAGGAAUGUUGGAGAAGGGCACGCCUCUAAGUGUAAGCGCCUGUGAGUCACUAAUUGAUGCUUUAUGCUUGGAUGGGAAGUAUGGCAAAGCAUUGGAAUUUCUUCUUGAGAUGGGAGAGAAAGGGUUUGUUCUCAAUCAUUCAACUUGUAGUGCUAUAGGUCGUAGUUUUUCUCUGAAAGGUGAUACUGAUACAGAUGAAGUAUGCUUGGUAAUCAAGGCUAUGACAACAUUUGGUUGGAUAUCAGACUCCACUACUUUUUCUGAUUUACUUAAGGACAGUAAAGUAGGCUUUUUAUUGCCCGAUCAAAAAAUUGGUUCAUCGGGGGAGCUUGCUGCGAGAAACCAGAAUGCUGCUUCUUCAGAGGAUGUAAAAUAUGUUUUGAAGCAAGUGGGUUUCGGCUGUGCUUCAUGAGGGCUUGUCACUAGAGAUGAACACAGCUACUUUUCGGAAAGUGGAAGACAGCAAGGGAUUUCACCGGGGCAUAGCUACUCUAGACCAUUCCGAUUUGGAGGCUUCUAGGCUAAAUUGGAUGGCAGCUUCUAGUACAUAACAUGUUGAUCACUUCAUGAGGUAAUUAAACUGGUCUUGUUUGUAUUGUGGUGUUUUUAGAAUAAGAGCUUUAUAACCAUUAUUGUAUUGUCGGAAUACCUUGAGCUCAUCAAAUUUAUCAUUUUUCAGGUUUAUUGUAACAACUGAACCUGUAAGCUUAUACAAGAUGAAGGACAUUUCGAUCCCGCUCGAGUCAAGGAAAGAGUUCGCUGCGCCAUUAAAGAGUAGUUUCAUAACAAUAAAGAGAAGUGAAAAGAACAGAUUUAACUUACUACUUACAUGUUCUUACUCUUCCUGAAGCUCAGAAAUUAAAGAAAGCAAAAAGCUUCUUAACCAGAGCAAGUUCUUGGUGCAAUGUCUGUUCAACUUGUUGGUUGUUGUCCAUAUAAUUUUUCACAAGGCAAUCUUAAAAGGCUCAUAGUUG